UACAGAGGGGGCAAGCGUUGUUCGGAAUUACUGGGCGUAAAGGGCGCGUAGGCGGCCUGCUAAGUCGAACGUGAAAUCCCCUGGGCUCAACCCAGGAACUGCGUCCGAUACUGGUUGGCUUGAAUCCGGGAGAGGGAUGUGGAAUUCCAGGUGUAGCGGUGAAAUGCGCAGAUAUCAGGAGGAACACCAAUUGCGAAGGCAGCUCGCUGGGACGUAACUGACGCUGAGACGCGAAAGCGUGGGGAGCAAACAGG
rnacentral:rRNA from 1 species